rnacentral:rRNA from 1 species
UACGGGGGGGGCAAGCGUUGUUCGGAAUUACUGGGCGUAAAGGGCUGGUAGGCGGCCAACUAAGUCGGAUGUGAAAUCCCCAGGCUUAACCUGGGAACUGCAUCCGAUACUGGUCGGCUUGAAUCCGGGAGAGGGAUGCAGAAUUCCAGGUGUAGCGGUGAAAUGCGUAGAUAUCUGGAGGAACACCGGUGGCGAAGGCGACGUCCUGGACCGGUAUUGACGCUGAGGCGCGAAAGCCAGGGGAGCAAACGGG